CCCUUAGAUGUUCUGGGCUGCACGCGUGCUACACUGAUAUUGCCAAUAUGUCAUUCUUAUCCGAAAUGGAUUGGGUAAUCAAGUGAUGAAAUUUCAUGCUUGGAAUCGGUAAUUGCAAUUUUAUCGUGAACGAGGAAUUCCUAGUAAGCACUAGUCAUCAGCUAAUGUUGAUUAUGUCCCUGCCCUUUGUACACACCGCCCGUCGCUACUACUGAUUGGGUGUUCAAGUGAGAUGCUUAGACCCUUGUUGCAUGGUUCAUUAUUGUGCUCCGAAAGGAAAAAGUUUCAAGCUUGAGUGUCUAGAGGAAGUAAAAGUCGUAACA
rnacentral:rRNA from 1 species